rnacentral:rRNA from 1 species
UACGUAGGGUGCGAGCGUUGCCGGAAUUAUUGGGCGUAAAGAGCUUGUAGGCGGUUUGUCGCGUCUGCUGUGAAAAUCCGGGGCUCAACCCCGGACUUGCAGUGGGUACGGGCAGACUGGAGUGUGGUAGGGGAGACUGGAAUUCCUGGUGUAGCGGUGGAAUGCGCAGAUAUCAGGAGGAACACCGAUGGCGAAGGCAGGUCUCUGGGCCACUACUGACGCUGAGAAGCGAAAGCAUGGGGAGCGAACAGG